UGUAUCUGUGGUAGGCAGUAUGUUUGUCUC
rnacentral:piRNA from 1 species